rnacentral:rRNA from 1 species
UGGGGAAUUUUGCGCAAUGGGCUAACGCCUGACGCAGCAACGCCGCGUGGAGGAUGAAGGUCUUUGGAUUGUAAACUCCUGUCAGCAGGGAAAAAGCAACAGGUGCUCAUACCGCCUGGAGUUGAUUGUACCUGCAGAGGAAGCCCCGGCUAACUCUGUGCCAGCAGCCGCGGUAAUACAGAGGGGGCAAGCGUUAUUCGGAAUUAUUGGGCGUAAAGGGCGCGUAGGCGGCUUUGCAAGUGACGGGUGAAAGCCCUCGGCUUAACCGAGGAACUGCCUGUCAGACUGUGAGGCUUGAGACCGGGAGAGGUGAGUGGAAUUCCCAGUGUAGCGGUGAAAUGCGUAGAUAUUGGGAGGAACACCAGUGGCGAAGGCGGCUCACUGGACCGGAACUGACGCUGAGGCGCGAAAGCGUGGGGAGCAAACAGGAUUAGAUACCCGUGGUAGUCCACGCCGUAAACGAUGAGUGCUUGGUGUAGC